rnacentral:tRNA from 1 species
GCACUUAUAGCUCAACUGGAUAGAGUACCUCCCUCCGAAGGAGGUGGUUGUGAGUUCGAAUCUCACUAAGUGCA